UGGGGAAUAUUGCACAAUGGGCGAAAGCCUGAUGCAGCGACGCCGCGUGAGGGAUGACGGCCUUCGGGUUGUAAACCUCUUUCAGCUCCGACGAAGCUGCGUCUUUCUUGGGCGCAGUGACGGUAGGGGCAGAAGAAGCACCGGCCAACUACGUGCCAGCAGCCGCGGUAAUACGUAGGGUGCAAGCGUUGUCCGGAAUUAUUGGGCGUAAAGAGCUCGUAGGCGGUUUGUCGCGUCGGCUGUGAAAACUCGGGGCUCAACUCCGGGCGUGCAGUCGAUACGGGCAGACUAGAGUUCGGCAGGGGAGACUGGAAUUCCUGGUGUAGCGGUGAAAUGCGCAGAUAUCAGGAGGAACACCGGUGGCGAAGGCGGGUCUCUGGGCCGAUACUGACGCUGAGGAGCGAAAGCGUGGGGAGCGAACAGGAUUAGAUACCCUAAAAGCAAACGAAGUAAACGGGGGGCGCUAGGUGUGGGAUCCCUUCCACGGGUUCCGUGCCGCAGCUAACGCAUUAAGCGCCCCGCCUGGGGAGUACG
rnacentral:rRNA from 1 species